rnacentral:rRNA from 1 species
UAGGGAAUCUUCGGCAAUGGGGGGAACCCUGACCGAGCAACGCCGCGUGAGUGAAGAAGGUUUUCGGAUCGUAAAGCUCUGUUGUUAAGGAAGAACGAGUGUGAGACUGGAAAGUUCAUACUGUGACGGUACUUAACCAGAAAUGGACGGCUAACUACGUGCCAGCAGCCGCGGUAAUACGUAGGUCCCGAACGUUGUCCGGAUUUAUUGGGCGUAAAGCGAGCGCAGGCGGUCAAUUAAGUCUGAUGUGAAAGCCCCCGGCUCAACCGGGGAGGGUCAUUGGAAACUGGUUGACUUGAGUGCAGAAGAGGAGAGUGGAAUUCCAUGUGUAGCGGUGAAAUGCGUAGAUAUAUGGAGGAACACCAGUGGAGAAGGCGACUCUCUGGUCUGUAACUGACGCUGAGGUUCGAAAGCGUGGGUAGCAAACAGG